UGGGGAAUAUUGCACAAUGGAGGGAACUCUGAUGCAGCGACGCCGCGUGAGUGAUGAAGGAAUUCGUUUCGUAAAACUCUGUUCUAUGGGAAGAAAAGGACUGUACCAUAGGAGAAAGCUCCGGCUAAAUACGUGCCAGCAGCCGCGGUAAUACGUAUGGAGCGAGCGUUGUCCGGAAUUAUUGGGCGUAAAGGGUGCGCAGGCGGCUUUACAAGUUGGAUGUGAAAUAUUGUGGCUCAACCACAAACGUGCAUCCAAAACUGCAAAGCUUGAGUUAAGGAGAGGUAAGUGGAAUUCCUGGUGUAGCGGUGGAAUGCGUAGAUAUCAGGAGGAAUACCGGUGGCGAAGGCGACUUACUGGACUUAAACUGACGCUCAGGCACGAAAGCGUGGGGAGCAAACAGG
rnacentral:rRNA from 5 species